rfam:Ictidomys tridecemlineatus contig017477, whole genome shotgun sequence.
UGGAUUGUGGCUCAGUAGUGGAGUGCUUGCCUAGCAUGUGUGAGGCACUGGGUUCGAUUCCCAGUACUACAU